rnacentral:ncRNA from 1 species
AUAAUUGAGAGUUUGGCUCUAAAUUGGAUCUACCGACGCUGAGCUGCGAAAGCAUUGGGAGCGAACAGGAUUAGAUAUCCUGAUAGUCUAUGCCGUAAACGAUGAGUGUUCGUCCUUGGUCUACGCGGAUCAGGGGCCCAGCUAAUGCGUGAAACACUCUGCCUGGGGAGUACGAUCGCAAGACCGAAACUCAAAGGAGGUUAAUGGCUGAUUUAAUUACUUCUUUA